UGCCCAGCAACUCUUAUUUCUACCUCCACGUGGCACCUGCCAGACUGCGAUCAACCUUAGGGAAGAUCGGGUAACCAAGGCCGUUGGGAACUUUGGUCGUAGGCUGACAGGGAAGG
rnacentral:ribozyme from 1 species